UACCAGCUCUCCGAGUGGUGUGGAUGUUUAUUGGGCCUAAAGCAUCCGUAGCUGGCUGGACAAGUCCCCUGUUAAAUCCACCGAUUUAAUCGUUGGUGUGCGGGGGAUACUGUUCGGCUAGGGGACGGGAGAGGCCGUCGGUAUUUCCGGGGUAGGGGUGAAAUCCUAUAAUCCCGGGAAGACCACCAGUGGCGAAGGCUGUCGGCUAGAACGCGCCCGACGGUGAGGGAUGAAAGCUGGGGGAGCGAACCGGAUUAGAUACCCGGGUAGUCCCAGCUGUAAACGAUGCAGGCGUAGGUGUUUGGGCGGCCACGUGCCGCUCUAGUGCCGCAAGGAGCUGUUAAGCCUGCCGCCGUGGGGAGUACGGCCGCAAGGCUAGAAACGUUAAAGGAAUUGGGCGGGGGAGCGACCACGAAGGGGUGAAGUCGUUGUCGGUUU
rnacentral:rRNA from 1 species